rnacentral:tmRNA from 1 species
AUUGGCUUCGACGGGGGUCUGGAAGAUCUGAUAAGCGAGUAGAAGGAAGCUGUGGACCUGCUUUAAAAAACUAUGGCAAAACAUAAACGCUGAAGAUAAUUUAGCACUAGCAGCUUAGUCUGCUACGUUCUACCCGGGAUGUCCGCUGCCUGGGACUAGAGCGCCGAAUAGCGGAAAAACGAGUCUGAAUAAGCUUUGCCUCAGAAAUGGAAAAAAUGAAGCUACCAAUGGCCAAGUCUGCAUGUAAACUAAGCCAAAGGGAAUGUUAAUUACAUUGCUACACUCGUAGAAAGUCUUAUCUAACUNNUAAGCCACUUUGGAC